rnacentral:rRNA from 1 species
UUUUAAGCAUCUGCUCUAACACAUGCACUCGAGUUGGGGGUACAAUACGCUCUCCUCGCGACGGGCGACUAACGCGUGGUGACGUACCUUUUGGUUCAGAACCGCACAGGGUAAACUUGUGCUAGUGCCGGACAAGCCCUUACAGGGAAAGAUUUAUCGCCGAAAGAUCGGGCCGCGUCUGAUUAGCUAGGUGGCGAGGUUAUGGCUCACCAAGGCGACCAUCACUAGCUGGCCUGAUAGGAUGAUCAUUCACAUUGGGACUGAGACACGGCCCAAACUCCUACGGGAGGUUGACGUGGGCCAUAUUGUCCAAUGGGGGUAACCCUGAUCCACCCCUGCCACGGGAGUGAUGAAGGCCCUAGGCUUGUAAAGGUCUUUUGUGCCGUAACAUAAUUUCGCCACCGCUCUAAUAAGCCCCGGUUAACUUCGUGCUAGCAGCCGUGGUUAUACGAAUGCGGCUAGCGUUGCUCAUAAUCACUGGCCGUCAAGGGUGCGUAAGCGGGUCUUUAAGUCCGGCGUGAAAUCCUGAAGUUCACCUCCUGAACUGCCUUUGAUGCUGAACAUCUUGAGUUCCGUAGAGGUGAGUGCAACUGCGAGUGUUCACGUGAAAUACUUAUAUAUUCGCUAGAUCACCCGCGGCGAAGUGCGGCUCACUGGCCCGAUACUGACACUUAUUACCGAAAGCAUGGCGGAGCAAAUCGGAUUUUAUAUGCUCGGUAGUCCUAUUCCGUAAACAAAUAAAAGUUUGCCGCUAGUGAGGCUUCCUCCCCCCCGGGGGGAUCCUUGCGCAUUUAGGCCUUCCUCCCG